UCCAUGGCUCAGUGGUAGAGCAUUUGGUUGGCAUGCAGAAGGCCCCAAUUUCAAUCCCUGGAAUUGCAAGUUAAGAA
rnacentral:tRNA from 1 species